UCACUUUAAAGCUAUUUUAAAAGUUAUUUUUGCAGUAAUUUUAUCUAAUUCAUAACUCGAGCGUUGACUACGUCUAUUGAACUUUUGGUCUUUUAUCAACUCUUCAAUUAUAACGGUCCGUGAACUUCAAAGAAAGUAAAUUAUAAAUUUAGUGCAGAAGUGAAAUAAAUAGUUAAUGUUUAUAUUUUUUACAAAAUAAUUCAGGAUAUUCAAUAGGGUUACGAGAAUGACCAUUCUAAAAGAACAAUUAAUAAUCAAAGAAAUAAAUAAAAAGUAAACAAACUGAACAUUCUACUCGCAACCCUAUUGUAGAUCGGGUUCUGAAUCUUGGUUCUCUUGAUAUGAAAUGGUUAAUAAAAGAGUGAGUUACACUAGUCCAGUAAUAAUAUCACGUUACUCACCAACACAGAAAUAAAAGUUGGUAGAAAUUAAAAAAAAAAAAACUAAUGAAGCUUUUAAUUUAAGUAAAAUUCGUUUAUCAUAAAUAAAAUCAUUUAUUGCAUGCUUACCAUAGCGAGAUUUCCAAAACUAAUUUAUAGAGUAAAUAACAUAAACAAUAUUAUAAUAUCAUAUGUAAUCAGUCAGAACAACAACUUUUCUCUUUUAUCAGCCUACUGGUAUCCAU
rnacentral:lncRNA from 1 species